AGAGUUUGAUCAUGGCUCAGAUUGAACGCUGGCGGCAUGCCUUACACAUGCAAGUCGAACGGCAGCACGGACUUCGGUCUGGUGGCGAGUGGCGAACGGGUGAGUAAUACAUCGGAACGUACCCUGUUGUGGGGGAUAACUAGUCGAAAGAUUAGCUAAUACCGCAUACGACCUGAGGGUGAAAGUGGGGGACCGUAAGGCCUCACGCAGCAGGAGCGGCCGAUGUCUGAUUAGCUAGUUGGUGGGGUAAAGGCCCACCAAGGCGACGAUCAGUAGCUGGUCUGAGAGGACGAUCAGCCACACUGGGACUGAGACACGGCCCAGACUCCUACGGGAGGCAGCAGUGGGGAAUUUUGGACAAUGGGGGCAACCCUGAUCCAGCAAUGCCGCGUGUGUGAAGAAGGCCUUCGGGUUGUAAAGCACUUUUGUCCGGAAAGAAAUCGCUUCGGUUAAUACCUGGGGUGGAUGACGGUACCGGAAGAAUAAACACCGGCUAACUACGUGCCAGCAGCCGCGGUAAUACGUAGGGUGCGAGCGUUAAUCGGAAUUACUGGGCGUAAAGCGUGCGCANGCGGUUUUGUAAGACAGGCGUGAAAUCCCCGAGCUCAACUU
rnacentral:rRNA from 1 species